ACUAACUCGGGGCCAGCAUGGGGGGUAAUCGGUGGGGGGAAAGGUUUAAGCGGAGUUAGUUGGGGUAAAGGUGACGGAGGCGUUUGGAUAAGUUAGAUGUGAAAGCCCCGGGCUCAACCUGGGAAUUGCAUUUAAAACUGUCCAGCGAGAGGCUUGUAGAGGGGGGUAGAAUUCCAGGUGUAGCGGUGAAAUGCGUAGAGAUCUGGAGGAAUACCGGUGGCGAAGGCGGCCCCCUGGACAAAGACUGACGCUCAGGUGCGAAAGCGUGGGGAGCAAACAGGAUUAGAUACCCGUGUAGUC
rnacentral:rRNA from 1 species